rnacentral:rRNA from 1 species
UACGUAGGGGUCGAGCGUUGUCCGGAGUUACUGGGCGUAAAGCGCACGUAGGCGGCUUUGUAAGUCGGAUGUGAAAGCCCUCGGCUCAACCGAGGAAGUGCAUUCGAAACUGCAAGGCUUGAGUAUGGAAGAGGGUCGCGGAAUUCCCGGUGUAGAGGUGAAAUUCGUAGAUAUCGGGAGGAACACCAGUGGCGAAGGCGGCGACCUGGGCCAAUACUGACGCUGAGGUGCGAAAGCGUGGGGAGCAAACAGG